rnacentral:rRNA from 1 species
UACGGAGGGUGCAAGCGUUAUCCGGAUUCACUGGGUUUAAAGGGUGCGUAGGCGGGCAGGUAAGUCCGUGGUGAAAUCUCUGAGCUUAACUCAGAAACUGCCAUGGAUACUAUUUGUCUUGAAUGUUGUGGAGGUAAGCGGAAUAUGUCAUGUAGCGGUGAAAUGCUUAGAUAUGACAUAGAACACCAAUUGCGAAGGCAGCUUACUACACAAAUAUUGACGCUGAGGCACGAAAGCGUGGGGAUUAAACAGG